rnacentral:rRNA from 1 species
CCCUUAGACGUUCUGGGCCGCACGCGCGCUACACUGACCAGUGCAACAAGCAUCCGUCCUUGGCCGACAGGCUCGGGCAAUCUUUGAACGCUGGUCGUGAUGGGGAUAGACUUUUGCAAUUUUUGGUCUUCAACGAGGAAUUCCUAGUAAACGCAAGUCAUCAGCUUGCAUUGAUUACGUCCCUGCCCUUUGUACACACCGCCCGUCGCACCUACCGAUUGAAUGGUCCGGUGAAAUCUCCGGACUGGCGUGAGUCGGAGCAAUCUGACAAACACCGGAAAGUUGAUUAAACCUUACCAUUUAGAGGAAGGUGAAGUCGUAACA